UCUCUGUUUUUGUAGAAUUGAGCACAAUGCUGUUCUCUGAAGUAUUAAUUGUGUUCUGUAUGAGGUGAGCAGCUGCGGCUAAUGAGACUUCACAAAUAUUAACAAAUGUCAGUCUAAAGCAGCAAAUCCUACGUUUAAUUGUGGACAUCAAACCUCAUUUGACCUUCUCAGUCGUCCAUUUCAGUUCCUCACAGUCACCUCACCAGCAGUGUGAGGAGUGAAGGCCGACUGCUCCGUCUGCACUCGUCUG